GACGAACGCUGGCGGCGUGCUUAACACAUGCAAGUCGAACGGAAAGGCCCGGCUUUUGUGGGGUGCUCGAGUUGCGAACGGGUGAGUAACACGUGAGUAACCUGCCCUUGACUUUGGGAUAACUUCAGGAAACUGGGGCUAAUAGCGGAUAGGAGCUCUUGCUGCUUGGUGGGGGUUGGAAAGUUUCGGCGGUUGGGGAUGGACUCGCGGCUUAUCAGCUUGUUGGUUGGGUAGUGUCUUACCAAGGAUUUGAAGGGUAGGCGGCCUGAGAGGGUGACCGGCCACACUGGGACUGAGAUACGGACCAGACUCAUACGGGCGGCAGGAGGGGGGAAUAAUGAACAGUGGGCGGAAGACUGAUGCAGCCACGCCGCGUGCGGGAGGAAGGCAUUCGGGUGGAAAACCGAUUUCGCCUGUGACGGAGCGUGAGUGAAGGUAAUGGGUAAAGAAGCACCGGCUAACUACGU
rnacentral:rRNA from 1 species